GUGGAGUGAUUUUAGGAGAACAUCGUGGAAGUUGGGGUGAUGAGUAGUGUUUGUGCCAAAUUUGGUCACUAGGAACUAAGAUAAUCGGUUUUUGGGUUUUUGGGUUGUUUUCUCAUUAUCUGCUUCAGUUUCAGUCAGCAUUCUUUUCACUUUUUUUUGCUCUUGGUGCCAAAUUUUCACUAAGACUUUGAGUACCUCUC
rnacentral:lncRNA from 1 species